CCAGACCACUCUUUCUAGAACACAGACUUGUGUCAUUGAAUACCAUCAUUACAUAUUGGAUUAGACACAAAGAUUUUGAAUCCUUCAACUGGUGACCCCGACGCUGAAAAGAGGGAGUCCGGAGGGUUCCGGCCCGACCGACAGAUCGGGAGAGACCCAUACACCGGUACGAGGAGGCAGACGUAAUCGUCAGAGGUGCCUCAACAUAAAAAAAGGUAAGCAGACACCUGUUAAUUCAAAGUACUGCAAUUCGGAACUGAGAUCCAAAUUUAGACGAUUACAAUGUUUCAUCGUACCUAGUCAAACCAACAGUGGUGGGAAAUCAACAAAUGUAUGUUACUAAGGGUUGAGAGGCCUUGAGGUGAAAUUCCUCAAAAAGGGUUAGAGUCCCACUGUAUGUUACUAAGGGUUGAGAGGCCUUGAAGUGAAAUUCCUCAAAAAGAGUUAGAGUCCCACCGUUUUAUGUGUCUUGAGGGUUCGAAUCUGUGUACUGUUUUGUGUGCCAAAGGUGUUAGUCCAUUGAGCCCUGUCAAGGAGGGGUUAAAGUCCUCUGAUCAAGUCAUAUUUGAGUGGAGUCAGAUUGUGUUGAAUAAAAAUAGAGAGGAGUGUGGUGUAUUCUUCCUUUUAUUUUCUUUAUCCUCACCGGUACAAGUGAAUUCUAGUCCCUGAACGAGUUAUACUUGUGUGGAGUCAAAUUGAGCUGAACAAUAUUUUAAACAGAUCUGCCGUUCUUAAAGAAUCCACUAGAUGUCCUCCUAGGACCAUAAUUGCUUUCGGUGCAAAGUCUAACGCGUAUUUCAAUUGUGAAUCAUUUAUUUAGGUCAAUCUCGUUUGUUUUCGGUUUCUUUGAACAAAGGUAUACAGCAAUCCGAGGAAAUGUCAGAUACACCUCAAACCCUUUGUUUCCAAUAUGACAUCGCGGUCUCUAAAAUAAUAAGUGGCACAGAGAAA